rnacentral:rRNA from 1 species
AAGCACUUUUGGCAGGGAAGAAAAGGCGCCGGUUAAUACCUGGCGCUGCUGACGGUACCUGCAGAAUAAGCACCGGCUAACUACGUGCCAGCAGCCGCGGUAAUACGUAGGGUGCAAGCGUUAAUCGGAAUUACUGGGCGUAAAGCGUGCGCAGGCGGUUCGGAAAGAAAGAUGUGAAAUCCCAGGGCUCAACCUUGGAACUGCAUUUUUAACUCCCGGACUAGAGUGUGUCAGAGGGGGGUGGAAUUCCACGUGUAGCAGUGAAAUGCGUAGAUAUGUGGAGGAACACCGAUGGCGAAGGCAGCCCCCUGGGAUAAUACUGACGCUCAUGCACGAAAGCGUGGGGAGCAAACAGGAUUAGAUACCCUGGUAGUCCACGCCCUAAACGAUGUCAACUAGCUGUUGGGGCCUUCGGGCCUUAGUAGCGCAGCUAACGCGUGAAGUUGACCGCCUGGGGAGUACGGUCGCAAGAUUAAAACUCAAAGGAAUUGACGGGGACCCGCACAAGCGGUGGAUGAUGUGGAUUAAUUCGAUGCAACGCGAAAAACCUUACCUACCCUUGACAUGUCUGGAAUCCCGAAGAGAUUUGGGAGUGCUCGCAAGAGAACCGGAACACAGGU